AUACGUAGGGCGCGAGCGUUAUCCGGAAUUAUUGGGCGUAAAGGGUGCGUAGACGGCAAUAAAAGUUUCUUGUCAAAUAUCUUGGCUCAACCAAGUAACGCAAGAGAUACUGUAUAGCUGGAGUAUAGGAGAGGUAAGUGGAACUCCAUGUGUAGCGGUAAAAUGCGUAAAUAUAUGGAAGAACACCAGUGGCGAAAGCGGCUUACUAGCCUGAUACUGACGUUGAGGCACGAAAGCGUGGGGAGCAAACAGGAUUAGAUACCCUGGUAGUCCACGCCCUAAACGAUGAGUACUAAGUGUUGGAGCAAUUCAGCGCUGAAGUUAACGCAUUAAGUACUCCGCCUGAGUAGUACGUACGCAAGUAUGAAACUUAAAGGAAUUGACGGGG
rnacentral:rRNA from 1 species